GCCGGGCGCACCCGUCCCGUGCGUCCCCGGACGUUGCUCUCUGCCCCGGGAACGUCGAGACUGGAGCGCCCGAGCUGAGCCACCUUCGCCGACCCCGAGCGCCGC
rnacentral:miRNA from 14 species